rnacentral:rRNA from 1 species
AUUGAACGCUGGCGGCAGGCCUAACACAUGCAAGUCGAGCGGAGCGGCGGACGGGUGAGUAAUGCCUAGGAAGCUGCCUGGUAGUGGGGGAUAACGUCCGGAAACGGUCGCUAAUACCGCAUACUAUCAGAUGAGCCUAGGUCGGAUUAGCUAGUUGGUGGGGUAAAGGCCUACCAAGGCGACGAUCCGUACCUGGUCUGAGAGGAUGAUCAGUCAAAUUGGAACUGAGACACGGGCCAGCCUCCUACGGGAGGCAGCAGUGGGGAAUAUUGGACAAUGGGCGAAAGCCUGAUCCAGCCAUGCCGCGUGUGUGAAGAAGGUCUUCGGAUUGUAAAGCACUUGAAGUAGGGAGGCGUUACCUACAGAAUAAGCACCGGCUAACUUCGUGCCAGCAGCCGCGGUAAUUC